AUAGAGAGCAAGGGAGCCUCAGGGGAUGUGGUCCCUAGAGGGCAUUCCCCGCCCGGUUCAGAGCAGAGAUUGGAGGGAGGGUGGCAGUAAGUGGAGAACAAUGCAGGCUUCCAUUUUCCUGAAGUUCAGGGUUGUGGGUAGGUGGGGUCAACCCCCAAGGCACUGGAGAAACUGCUGCCUUCACCCCUAUUUCCUGCCCUUUGCAUAUGGGUCUGUUGUGAGCACAGGCAAGCUGGGAGCACAGCAGAUUCCUCAAAGCUGCAUCUUGGAUCACAAGUCGACUUGCCCAGGAGAACAGUGUGUGAACAGCACUUAUGGGUUCUGCUGUCCUAUGUGGGUACUGAGGACCUGGCCAUAGGAGUGUGACCACCGAUCCUCCCACAGGGUUCAACACCAGUCAUAAGGAUGAUGCUACCACCUCCAACGGGAGCAGUAACCUUUUUUUUUUUUUUUUUUUGACAGGCAGAGUGGACAGUGAGAGAGAGAGAGACAGAGAGAAAGGUCUUCCUUUGCCGUUGGUUCACCCUCCAGUGGCCGCCACGGCCGGCCGGCGCACCGUGCUGAUCCGAUGGCAGGAGCCAGGUGCUUCUCCUGGUCUCCCAUGGGGUGCAGGGCCCAAGGACUUGGGCCAUCCCCCACUGCACUCCCUGGCCACAGCAGAGAGCUGGCCUGGAAGAGGGGCAACCAGGACAGAAUCCGGCGCCCCGACCGGGACUAGAACCCGGUGUGCCGGCGCCGCAAGGCGGAGGAUUAGCCUAGUGAGCGGCAGCGCCAGCCCAAGGGAGCAGUAAUCUUCAAAGUUCUAGGUUCUGCUGUAAGUGCUCUCCACGUUACCUUGUUUAAGUCUCACCAUAGUGCCAAAAAGUAAGUACUGCUACUGUUCUCCUCUGUAGCUGAAAAAGAAAAAAAAAAAGACCUGAGACUUAAAGAAGCCAGGCCAGUGACUCAAAUUCACCUGCUGGAGGGAGGUGACUGGGAACUCAGGCAUGUGUGGUUCCUACAGCCUCGUCCUGUCGGCUCUGCUGCAGAGAAGCUUGUUAACCCUCCACGGUCUGAGCCACCAGCAGCAGACUGGAGUAGGGACUCACUAAUGUGGGGGUGCACAUGGCACCCCGCCCCCGGCGGAGCAACACUGCUGGUGGACUCUCCCCCUGGGGGCACUUCGUGAACCUCCAGGUGGGGUGGGGACUUCAACAGCUUCCAAGAAACAGCGAAGUGAAACAUGGCGGAAAGGAAGUGCUAACAGCCAGGAGAGCAGGAGAACACAGUGGCAGGGUGGGUAGCUUCUCUCUGAGUCUCUACAGGGGUGUGUGUGCACUGAGAAGUGCUCUGAAAACACCCUGAAAAGUUCGCAUCCCAGUGUGGCCAUCAGAAGUGCCGGCCGCUGGUGUUUCUAGCUCUUCUCUUCCAGGGGUAUGGCCAGGUUGUCCCUGUGAGGCUGGACGUGGCCAUGGGAGUGGUGGUUCCAAGCACAGGGGGAGUAGGGCUGAGGGGCUUCACUUCUGGGCAGGGACCACUCCCUCCCUCCCUUUGCAGGAUAUGCCCAACAAGGCUGCAGAGGGUCCACCCUCCACCAGUCCAUGUCUCAAAGCAACAGGCUCCCAGAUGACCUGUGAUGGACAUUCUCUGAGAGGCAGAGGGAGAGAGAGAGAUGGAGAGAGAGAGAGAGAGAGGUACUUUUCUGAAGUCUGUAGUUUUGGAGUUGUUUGUGUUCAAACAAGAUAGCCUCGUGUUCCUCCAUUGAAGGACAUACCCUGGCUCCCUGAUUGCAUUGGCCCACCCCACAGGUGAGGUUCCGGAAAUCAUUAUAGCUGCAUUUUGACUGGACCCUUUGCUUACCUCAAAGUCUGCUACCAAAAUGGAUUAAACAUGGAAAACUAAAAUGAGGAUUAUAAUGGUAUGGAGAUUUAACUGCAAAGAGUUUGUGCAUCUAUCAUAUUUUUGCCUGCAAUAACACCAAAUAGGAUAUGUGACAGGUUCUAUUUUCCUUCCAUGCCUUUGCAAUACCUGCCAUCCCAUGUGCUCUUUUGCAAAGCGACCUUGCCACACCCCUAUCAGGAGGUGGAACUUACUUCUCCAUCCUUGAAUCCGGGAGGGGACUCUGGCGACUGUGACCAAUAGGAUAAAUACGGGUACCGCAGAAGCCACGCUGUGCCAGUUCUGGAAGUCGCCCUUGGUUGGUGGCAGCCUCUGCUUCAUUCCUGUUGCUUGGGAGGCAAACUCCAGAUGGGAAAUAUGCCACUCUGAGACUCCCUUGUGGAGAGGAGGCCAAGGGAUGUGUGUGGGUCUGGGAUGAGACGUUCAGUGGAGAGAGUGGGGAGGAGAGAUAGAAAGAGAUAGAGAUAGAGAUAGAGAUAGAGAUAGAGAUAGAGAUAGAGAUGGAAAGACACAUGAUAGAUAGAAGGACGGGUAGAUAGAUGAUAAUGAUAGACAGACAGAUAGGUAGAGCUAUGCAGAAGUGCCAUUGCACUGGAUAUGUGGGCAAAGAACACCAUGAAACUGAGUCCUCCAGCCCCAGAGUCCCCAGCUGAUGUCACAUAGGGCUGUGACAAACUGACCAGUCCAGUCCUCCCCCAGAUUCCUGAGCUACAUAAUCAUGGGCAAAGUGAGGGAUUUUUUUUUCCCCACUAUGCUUUGUGGUAGUGUCCUGGAACCCUGGGCAAUCCAAACAUACAACCACGGAGAAACCAGAGAAGCGGGAAGGCAUGGCUUACUCUCUCUUGUAGACGUAAGCAUCCUGAUGCUCAAACAUAAUCCAUGGCUUUCUUGGAUCCCAGUGCUCCUUAGUGGAACCCAGCUCAGGGUUCUUCCACAACUAAAGACAUCCAGGCACUGUAGGAUGCCGGGACAUCUCCCACAAUGGACUGAUAUGGGAUGAGAAAUGAAGCCCCCCGAGGGGCUGAGGGUCAUGCGUAAGGCCACACAGUUGAGUCUGGGCUGCUGACCACACACGAAUGUGCAUACGCUGGCCCCUGGGAGCAGUCUUCCACGCUACAGGUUCUCACUCCUCCAGCAUCUGAAAAGGCAAGAGCUGUCUUGCUCAAACGAUUAAAAUGUGUUUUUGUUGCUUUGUGUCUCGGUAAUUCCCUUUAAAAGCGAAUGAUAAUUCUCAGGGGGAUAUGAAGUAAAAAGCUGUAAAAAUAUCUCAUUGCCACAGGCUGAACACUUGAAGGGAAAUUUGCUGAGGAAUGAGCUGUGCUGUUGGAACCGAGGGAGCUACGGGGCACAGAAGCGUGGGCUUGGUCUCACAGCAGGAACCCCCCAUACCUCCGGCCCAUGUGGUCCUGGUUCAGAGUCUUCCCACCCCCGGCUAUUCAAUUUCUUCAAAUAGAAACCAAAAGAGAACUAUCCUCCAUGGGCAUGCUCAAUGUAUAAUGUAACAGUUCUGUGAACACGCAUACAGGUAUCUCAACAAGUUCAUGGAAAAUAGGAAUAAAAGAUGAGCUUGGGGCA
ensembl:lncRNA